rnacentral:rRNA from 1 species
GACGAACGCUGGCGGCGUGCUUAACACAUGCAAGUCGAACGGAAAGGCCCUGCUUUUGUGGGGUGCUCGAGUGGCGAACGGGUGAGUAACACGUGAGUAACCUGCCCUUGACUUUGGGAUAACUUCAGGAAACUGGGGCUAAUACCGGAUAGGAGCUCCUGCUGCAUGGUGGGGGUUGGAAAGUUUCGGCGGUUGGGGAUGGACUCGCGGCUUAUCAGCUUGUUGGUGGGGUAGUGGCUUACCAAGGCUUUGACGGGUAGCCGGCCUGAGAGGGUGACCGGCCACAUUGGGACUGAGAUACGGCCCAGACUCCUACGGGAGGCAGCAGUGGGGAAUAUUGCACAAUGGGCGGAAGCCUGAUGCAGCAACGCCGCGUGCGGGAUGACGGCCUUCGGGUUGUAAACCGCUUUCGCCUGUGACGAAGCGUGAGUGACGGUAAUGGGUAAAGAAGCACCGGCUAACUACGUGCCAGCAGCCGCGGUGAUACGUAGGGUGCGAGCGUUGUCCGGAUUUAUUGGGCGUAAAGGGCUCGUAGGUGGUUGAUCGCGUCGGAAGUGUAAUCUUGGGGCUUAACCCUGAGCGUGCUUUCGAUACGGGUUGACUUGAGGAAGGUAGGGGAGAAUGGAAUUCCUGGUGGAGCGGUGGAAUGCGCAGAUAUCAGGAGGAACACCAGUGGCGAAGGCGGUUCUCUGGGCCUUUCCUGACGCUGAGGAGCGAAAGCGUGGGGAGCGAACAGGCUUAGAUACCCUGGUAGUCCACGCUGUAAACGGUGGGUACUAGGUGUGGGGUCCAUUCCACGGGUUCCGUGCCGUAGCUAACGCUUUAAGUACCCCGCCUGGGGAGUACGGCCGCAAGGCUAAAACUCAAAGGAAUUGACGGGGCCCCGCACAAGCGGCGGAGCAUGCGGAUUAAUUCGGUGCAACGCGUAGAACCUUGCCUGGGUUUGACAUGGAUCGGGAGCGCUCAGAGAUGGGUGUGCCUCUUUUGGGGUCGGUUCACAGGUGGUGCAUGGCUGUCGUCAGCUCGUGUCGUGAGAUGUUGGGUUAAGUCCCGCAACGAGCGCAACCCUUGUUCACUGUUGCCAGCACGUUAUGGUGGGGACUCAGUGGAGACCGCCGGGGUCAACUCGGAGGAAGGUGGGGAUGACGUCAAGUCAUCAUGCCCCUUAUGUCCAGGGCUUCACGCAUGCUACAAUGGCUGGUACAGAGAGUGGCGAGCCUGUGAGGGUGAGCGAAUCUCGGAAAGCCGGUCUCAGUUCGGAUUGGGGUCUGCAACUCGACCUCAUGAAGUCGGAGUCGCUAGUAAUCGCAGAUCAGCAACGCUGCGGUGAAUACGUUCCCGGG